UGCAGUGGACGUAUUUAGGCCAGGGAAUGUAGAGCAACCCCCCCCCUCCCCCACCAGGAAAAAAGAUUUGUUAAUUUUAAGAUUCAAAGAACCGAAUCAACUUCCCAUCACAAGGUCUAAUCCUUGCUAGAGAAGUUGGGUUUAUUGAUGAACCGAAUGAAGACACAUAGGACAAAUCUUGUAAGCCGAGGUAUCAAAGUGAGGAGGGAAGAGUGGAAGGGAAGGGAAGCAAAACAUGAGAAAGAGUCACCAAUUACAACACCAACACCGGCGCAGGCUUUGGCGUAGCUGGCAAGACCAAUACACAAGGCCUCUUUCUGACUCCUGCCA